GGUAGCGUGGCCGAGUGGUUAAGGCGUUGGAUUUAGGCUCCAAUCCAGAAAUGGGCGCGGGUUCGAAUCCCGUCGCUGCCA
rfam:Ramazzottius varieornatus DNA, contig: Scaffold003, strain: YOKOZTNA-1.